GACGAACGCUGGCGGCGUGCUUAACACAUGCAAGUCGAACGGAAAGGCCCUGCUUUUGUGGUGUGCUCGAGUGGCGAACGGGUGAGUAACACGUUAGUAACCUGCCCUUGACUUUGGUAUAACUUCAGGAAACUGUGGCUAAUACCGGAUAGGAGCUCCUGCUGCAUGGUGGGGGUUGGAAAGUUUCGGCGGUUGGGGAUGGACUCGCGGCUUAUCAGCUUGUUGGUGGGGUAGUGGCUUACCAAGGCUUUGACGGGUAGCCGGCCUGAGAGGGUGACCGGCCACAGUGGGACUGAGAUACGGCCCAGACUCCUACGGGAGGCAGCAGUGGGGAAUAUUGCACAAUGGGCGGAAGCCUGAUGCAGCAACGCCGCGUGCGGGAUGACGGCCUUCGGGUUGUAAACCGCUUUCGCCUGUGACGAAGCGUGAGUGACGGUAAUGGGUAAAGAAGCACCGGCUAACUACGUG
rnacentral:rRNA from 1 species